UACGGGGGGGGCAAGCGUUGUUCGGAAUUACUGGGCGUAAAGGGCUCGUAGGCGGUCCAUCGCGUCGGGAGUGAAACGCUGGGGCUUAACCCCAGUCCUGCUUUCGAUACGGGUGGACUAGAGGUAGGCAGGGGAGAAUGGAAUUCCUGGUGUAGCGGUGAAAUGCGCAGAUAUCAGGAAGAACACCCGUGGCUAAGGCGGCUCUCUAGUACGGCACUGACGCUGAGACGCGAAAGCGUGGGGAGCGAACAGG
rnacentral:rRNA from 1 species